rnacentral:rRNA from 1 species
CCUACGGGAGGCAGCAGUAGGGAAUUUUCGGCAAUGGGGGGAACCCUGACCGAGCACCGCCGCGUGAACGAAGAAGUUAUUCGUAAUGUAAAGUUCUUUUAACAGGGAAGAAAGAGAAAUUUGACGGUACCUGAAGAAUAAGCUCCGGCUAACUACGUGCCAGCAGCCGCGGUAAUACGUAGGGAGCGAGCGUUAUCCGGAAUUAUUGGGCGAAAAGGGUGCGUAGAUGGCAUAGUAAGUCUUUUGUAAAAAUGCUGGGCUCAACCCAGUAGGGCAAAAGAUACUGCAAAGCUAGAGUAUGACAGAGGCAAGUGGAACUACAUGUGUAGCGGUAAAAUGCGUAAAUAUAUGUAAGAACACCAGUGGCGAAGGCGGCUUGCUGGGUCGAUACUGACAUUGAGGCACGAAAGCGUGGGGAGCAAACAGGAUUAGAUACCCCAGUAGUC